GUCCCUAGUUCGGAUUGUAGGCUGAAACUCGCCUACAUGAAGCUGGAAUUGCUAGUAAUCACAGGUCAGCAUACUGUGGUGAAUACGUUCCCGGGCCUUGUACACACCGCCCGUCACACCAUGAGAGUUGAGAAUACCCGAAGCCCAUGUCAAAGUGGUCGAAGGUAGGCUUGAUGAUUGGGGUGAAGUCGUAACAAGGUAGC
rnacentral:rRNA from 1 species